ACUCUAAUCGCGGCCCAGCAUUUGUCCCCUUUCGACCCUUCUUUUAUCUAAGUGACGAAACAUUAAGACAUGAAAUAAAUGCUGAACGCAGUCGCAGAGAAAAAAACAUCAGUGAACCAGUUCAAACAUUCUGAAGUUUGAACUUUAUGUCUGUGGAUAAUGUGAGCACGUAUAAAGGAGGAUAAUGAAGUGUCUUUACAACUGUUAAUGUUAUGAAAUACAAAGAUAUACUGGUUGCUGAGCGUUUUGAACGUGUUUGAAAUUACUUUAAUACAUUUUGUAUCGGCAUUCCCUGCUCUGGAAGCUUAUAAUCUGAACAUUUUUACUCAUUACGCAUUCGCCCUCUCUUCAAGUUUUACCCUGCCUUGAAUCAAAUUGGAUAAAACUCAGCAAAAAUGUACAAGCCUCUAAGACAUUGACUCACUUCGAAAUUCUUUGGAACAGACUUCUCAUCUAGAAGCUAAUUCCAUUCCAAUAUUGUCCAACCGAGCUACAGAGAUGUCACAAAGUAUGGUUUCCAUAUACGUUCUGAUAAUGAGAAGGGGAACGCGACAAACUCUUGAGACAUGAAGUAACCACAAUUAUUUCUUGGGCGAUUUUUAUUUUUUUAUUUCAGUUUCAGAAAAGAAAAAAAAACACAGAAUAAAUAAAAAGUUGGUGGGGGUAAAAUAAAAUACAGAUGCAAAUAUUUCCUUUCCAUUAGUUGGUAAUGAAUUCAGGUGUAACUGUUGAAGAUAUAUUGUACAAAGACAACC
rnacentral:lncRNA from 1 species